rnacentral:rRNA from 1 species
GUGGGGAAUAUUGGACAAUGGGCGAAAGCCUGAUCCAGCCAUGCCGCGUGUGUGAAGAAGGUCUUCGGAUUGUAAAGCACUUUAAGUUGGGAGGAAGGGCAGUAAGUUAAUACCUUGCUGUUUUGACGUUACCGACAGAAUAAGCACCGGCUAACUUCGUGCCAGCAGCCGCGGUAAUACGAAGGGUGCAAGCGUUAAUCGGAAUUACUGGGCGUAAAGCGCGCGUAGGUGGUUCAGCAAGUUGGAGGUGAAAUCCCCGGGCUCAACCUGGGAACUGCCUCCAAAACUGCAUGACUAGAGUACGGUAGAGGGUAGUGGAAUUUCCUGUGUAGCGGUGAAAUGCGUAGAUAUAGGAAGGAACACCAGUGGCGAAGGCGACUACCUGGACUGAUACUGACACUGAGGUGCGAAAGCGUGGGGAGCAAACAGGAUUAGAAACCCGGGUAGUCC